UUAAGUGACUAAGCGUACAGGGUGGAUGCCUGGGCAGUCAGAGGCGAUGAAGGACGUACUAACUUGCGAUAAGCGCAGAUAAGGCAGUAAGAGCCGUUUGAGUCUGCGAUUUCCGAAUGGGGAAACCCAACUGCAUAAGCAGUUACUGUUAACUGAAUACAUAGGUUAACAGAGCAAACCGGGGGAACUGAAACAUCUAAGUACCCCGAGGAGAAGAAAUCAACCGAGAUUCCGGUAGUAGCGGCGAGCGAACCUGGAUUAGCCCUUAAGCACUCGGUGAAGUAGGUGAACAAGCUGGAAAGCUUGGCGAUACAGGGUGAUAGCCCCGUAACCACGCUUCAUCGAGCGUGAAAUCGAGUAGGGCGGGACACGUGAUAUCCUGUCUGAAUAUGGGGGGACCAUCCUCCAAGGCUAAAUACUCCUGACUGACCGAUAGUGAACCAGUACCGUGAGGGAAAGGCGAAAAGAACCCCUGUGAGGGGAGUGAAAUAGAACCUGAAACCGUGUACGUACAAGCAGUAGGAGCACCUUCGUGGUGUGACUGCGUACCUUUUGUAUAAUGGGUCAGCGACUUAUAUUCAGUGGCAAGGUUAACCGUAUAGGGGAGCCGUAGCGAAAGCGAGUCUUAACUGGGCGCUCAGUCUCUGGAUAUAGACCCGAAACCGGGUGAUCUAGCCAUGGGCAGGUUGAAGGUUGAGUAACAUCAACUGGAGGACCGAACCGACUAAUGUUGAAAAAUUAGCGGAUGACUUGUGGCUAGGGGUGAAAGGCCAAUCAAACUCGGAGAUAGCUGGUUCUCCCCGAAAGCUAUUUAGGUAGCGCCUCGGACGAAUACUACUGGGGGUAGAGCACUGUUAAGGCUAGGGGGUCAUCCCGACUUACCAACCCUUUGCAAACUCCGAAUACCAGUAAGUACUAUCCGGGAGACACACGGCGGGUGCUAACGUCCGUCGUGGAGAGGGAAACAACCCAGACCGCCAGCUAAGGUCCCAAAGUAUUGCUAAGUGGGAAACGAUGUGGGAAGGCUCAGACAGCUAGGAUGUUGGCUUAGAAGCAGCCAUCAUUUAAAGAAAGCGUAAUAGCUCACUAGUCGAGUCGGCCUGCGCGGAAGAUGUAACGGGGCUAAGCAAUACACCGAAGCUGCGGCAAUAUCUUUUAGAUAUUGGGUAGGGGAGCGUUCUGUAAGCCGUUGAAGGUGAAUCGUAAGGUUUGCUGGAGGUAUCAGAAGUGCGAAUGCUGACAUGAGUAACGACAAAGGGGGUGAAAAACCUCCUCGCCGGAAGACCAAGGGUUCCUGUCCAACGUUAAUCGGGGCAGGGUGAGUCGACCCCUAAGGUGAGGCCGAAAGGCGUAAUCGAUGGGAAACGGGUUAAUAUUCCCGUACUUCUGACUAUUGCGAUGGGGGGACGGAGAAGGCUAGGUGGGCCAGGCGACGGUUGUCCUGGUUCAAGUGCGUAGGCUUGAGAGUUAGGUAAAUCCGGCUCUCUCUAAGGCUGAGACACGACGUCGAGCUGCUACGGCAGUGAAGUCAUUGAUGCCAUGCUUCCAGGAAAAGCCUCUAAGCUUCAGAUAGUCAGGAAUCGUACCCCAAACCGACACAGGUGGUCGGGUAGAGAAUACCAAGGCGCUUGAGAGAACUCGGGUGAAGGAACUAGGCAAAAUGGUACCGUAACUUCGGGAGAAGGUACGCUCUUGAUGGUGAAGUCCCUCGCGGAUGGAGCUGACGAGAGUCGCAGAUACCAGGUGGCUGCAACUGUUUAUUAAAAACACAGCACUGUGCAAAAUCGCAAGAUGACGUAUACGGUGUGACGCCUGCCCGGUGCCGGAAGGUUAAUUGAUGGGGUUAGCGCAAGCGAAGCUCUUGAUCGAAGCCCCGGUAAACGGCGGCCGUAACUAUAACGGUCCUAAGGUAGCGAAAUUCCUUGUCGGGUAAGUUCCGACCUGCACGAAUGGCGUAAUGAUGGCCACGCUGUCUCCACCCGAGACUCAGUGAAAUUGAAAUCGCUGUGAAGAUGCAGUGUACCCGCGGCUAGACGGAAAGACCCCGUGAACCUUUACUACAGCUUGGCACUGAACAUUGAACCUACAUGUGUAGGAUAGGUGGGAGGCUAUGAAGACGUGACGCCAGUUGCGUUGGAGCCGUCCUUGAAAUACCACCCUUGUAUGUUUGAUGUUCUAACUUAGACCCAUUAUCUGGGUUGAGGACAGUGCCUGGUGGGUAGUUUGACUGGGGCGGUCUCCUCCCAAAGAGUAACGGAGGAGCACGAAGGUGGGCUAAUCACGGUUGGACAUCGUGAGGUUAGUGCAAUGGCAUAAGCCCGCUUAACUGCGAGAAUGACGGUUCGAGCAGGUGCGAAAGCAGGUCAUAGUGAUCCGGUGGUUCUGUAUGGAAGGGCCAUCGCUCAACGGAUAAAAGGUACUCCGGGGAUAACAGGCUGAUACCGCCCAAGAGUUCAUAUCGACGGCGGUGUUUGGCACCUCGAUGUCGGCUCAUCACAUCCUGGGGCUGAAGUCGGUCCCAAGGGUAUGGCUGUUCGCCAUUUAAAGUGGUACGCGAGCUGGGUUUAGAACGUCGUGAGACAGUUCGGUCCCUAUCUGCCGUGGGCGUUGGAAGAUUGAAGGGGGCUGCUCCUAGUACGAGAGGACCGGAGUGGACGAACCUCUGGUGUUCGGGUUGUGUCGCCAGACGCAUUGCCCGGUAGCUAAGUUCGGAAUUGAUAAGCGCUGAAAGCAUCUAAGCGCGAAGCGAGCCCUGAGAUGAGUCUUCCCUGACAGUUUAACUGUUCUAAAGGGUUGUUCGAGACUAGAACGUUGAUAGGCAGGGUGUGUAAGCGUUGUGAGGCGUUGAGCUAACCUGUACUAAUUGCCCGUGAGGCUUAACCAU
rnacentral:rRNA from 1 species